AUAUUUUUAAAUUAAAGUAUUAUUAAAACAAAAAUAACAAAAAAAAAAAUGUUUAAUUUCACUGAACAUUAUAGAUAUGUUUAAUUGUAGGACGGGUUUGGUCGAUAGUAAUACGAGACGGUAUACCACAGGUGAAAUCUAUUAGAUAUGUUUAAUUUUACUGAACGAGAUUAGAUGGUAUGACGGGUUUGGAUUGAUAGUAAUACGAAACGAUAUAGUACGGAUGAAAUCCUAAAUAUAACAAUUAAAA
rnacentral:sRNA from 1 species